AUAAUCGGGGGAAACCCCGUCUAAUACCGCGUAACGACCCGGGGGGGCAUCCCUUCGGGUCCAAAGGUUUACCGGCUGCGGAUGGCCAUGCGUCGCAUUAGCUGGUUGGCGGGGUAACGGCCCACCAAGGCGACGAUGCGUAGGGGUUCUGAGAGGAAGGUCCCCCACACUGGUACUGAGACACGGACCAGACUCCUACGGAAGGCAGCAG
rnacentral:rRNA from 1 species